GAACUGGCAGCAGGUGAUGCCCCAUUUCUGAUGAGUAGCCAUUUUAGAUCUAGGCUGGGAGAGCUGGAGGCAGUAGUUUGCUGCCUGACAUUGUGGAAGGAACAUUGCCUGGUGGAGCUGCUGUGACUGCAACAACUAGAAGAUUCGCAUUUCUCAGUCAUGCCAAGUGAUGCCACUGAUUUACAAUUACAUCGAAGGGCCUUGUUAUGCAUUACACUUUGAGCUGCCUGAGCUAAACUUAGUGCUAGCUUGAGCUUGGAGCAGUCAAAUGUUCAGGCCAGGAGGAGCCUGUAGGACUGAAAGAUCUGAAAAAUAUCAGUCUCGUAUGAGAUGCCUUCCAGCUGUUUGUCUCCUGAGAAUGGAUC